CGAUCUACGACCUAAACGUAAUGUGCUCGCGCGCACGUGGCAAGAUAUCUCAACGUAAGGAUUAUCUACCUAUAUCUAUCUUACGAUUUAAUAUCCACCAUAUGAAUUUAUGCGUUCAAAUAUCUACUCUCUUCAUCGGAAAACGGAAAUUACGUGAAAUCAGGUGAAAAUUAUUAUGAUUUCGUAAGAGAUCUCAGUAUUCUCAUUAUCUUUUUUGUAUAUAUAUAUAUAUAUAUAUUUCCUUAAAUCGAACGAGAGUAGAUUAAAUUAGUAAUAGCUUUUUUGCACUCCUAUUACUGUAAUAGAAUUCAGUGACGUUGGCUCAUAAUUUUUUGCGAUUUCUUUGGUAACGCUUAUCGGUCGAACCGAUAAUAAAUUAUGCUUCCAAUUGAAUUUUUCUUAUUACUUUUUCGUAAUUGUGUUUACAUAACGUUAAUAAAGAUUUUCCUUAACAAAGACAACUAUUUUAUAUAGAAAGUAUGUUGUAAACUUUUCUCAAUACGUUUAAAUUAACAAAAUAUCUUUGAUGUUGUUUGUCAAAUAUACUCUAAUAUUUUUUUAAAUGAUACGAAUUGACAAUGAUAGCUGACAUUGUGUCAUUGGAAAUAUUUUUAACCAUCGAACAGAUGACCGCUGAAAAUUUGAUAAAAUUUUGUAUAAAAAAACAAGAAUCAAUGUUGAGUUUUGGAAAAAUAAAAAUUAAGUUGAAUUAUACCUAUUGAAAGACAAGGAAUAUGAAAUAGUCGAAGAAUGGAGAAUAAAGAGAAAGAGAAAAAGAGAGAGAGAGAGAGAGAGAGAGAGAGAGUGGCGAAAAAAUAAAAAUAAUAGAAGAAGAAAUACUCGAAGGAGAACUGGUUCCACGAGAAGCGAGAGAAAUGAGAGACGAAGAAGGAGGACACUUACGAUGUACCAAAGGAGGCUAGCGUGGUCUGUUACGAGAGAGAAAACCGGUUUUACGAUUCAAACUGGAGUAAAAGUGUGUAUUGCAUCGUCGUCGUUGGGAUUCGCCAAACUGAACCGCGCGUUUCCAUGUUUACGAUCCAGGUUGUUAUCUUACUUAGCCAAAAAUAGAUGUGUGUUCCUUUUGUUUCUUUGAAAAUAAUUUAAGGACUUUGUUUUUCUUUUCUCGCUUAGGAAAAAAAAAAAAAAAAAAAAAAAAAAAAGAAAAAAAAGGAUAGAUGAGUGACGUUCCAAGUAAAUGUGUUAAAAUUUAUACGACGUUAUCUCACAAAAAUAUUUUCAAUUUUUAUAUCUCAAGAACGGAAAUUGUACUUCCAAGUAAUUACAAAUAUGUCAAGGAUAUAUAUCUGUCAAAGUUUGCUCAUUGAAAAAGGAUUUGAACUCGGUAUGAAUCGACGAGACCUUGACAGAAAACUUUUCCCAAGUAAUAAAAAAAGAAAACUUUUUUCCAAAUAAUAAGAAAGAAAAACUUUUUCCAAAUAAUAAGAAAAGAGAACUUUUCUCAAAUAAUAAAAAAAGAAAAUUUUUUUUCUUCAAGGAUUUAAUUCCUUGGACAAGAGAAAGUGCCAUCGUAAAGUCGGCAUUGAAAUCACCAAGGAAAUAUUUAUCAUUCGACAAUCCGCAUGAGUUCUUUCAAUUGCUUUCCCGCGCUUAUCCCCAUUGUUCUUGAGAUAUGACAUUUUUCCGAAGGCGAAGAAACGAUUAUUUUAAUGUUGUAAAUUUAUUUAUAUCUUACAAAACGAAUGGCGGAUGCAGAAAUCUCGAAUGAGUAGGCGUGAGACUCGACGACUCUUUCGUACUCUUUGAUUGCAAUUAACAUCGUUAUCGCUCGAUGUGCUUACUCGGUGAAUAAUUAAUUAUCUACUAAGUAAUUACCCAGUUCGCUCCUUUGUGCGUUCUUUAACGCUUCCUCGUCAUCGAAAAAGAAAUAAUUUCACGUUAUUAUACCUAUUAUAUGUUUGCUACUUCUCAAUUAUCGAUCUUAACUUUCUCGGAAUAAAAAAAGGGAAAGAAAAAAAAAUUCAAAGAUUUUUUUUUAGCAUUAACGUUAUUAAUGAAUCGUGCGAAAGCUAGCGAUAAAAUUUUUUAUCAGAAAUACAAUGAUAUUCUAUCUCGUCGAAUGACACUAUAUUUUUACUAUAAUUAUCCAUUUGAACUUUUAAAAAAAAAAAAAAAAAAGUCAAUGAUCGAUUGACAUUAACAUUGUCAAUGAAUCAUAUGAAAGCUAGGGAUAGAAGAUAAAUUGAUAAAAAAAAAAAAAAAUCCAAUGAUAUACCUGUUUCUUUCAAAAUAAAAAUCCUAAGGGUUGUACUCAUGGGCCAUCAUCCAACUGGUUCCAACGAGAGAGGAGUCUGAGUCGUCGCUUUGUCUCUUCUUCUGAGGAUAGAGGAACCGAGGUCAAGCAAGAGCUCAGCGAUUGGACCAUGGUCGAAGCUUGAAGAAACCAGUUUCCGUUAAAAACGUACGAUUGUGGCGCCAACAAGCGGUCUUUGCUUGUGAUUGGGCAAGUAAGAGUCCAACAGCUCUCCUGGAGAGUCCGUUCUCCAGGGCGGGAGGAUGUUGACCCUCAUGCGCCAUCUUGAAUGACGGGAUACCGUCGAUCGUAGUACUACUCACAGCUGGUAUUGCGACGUUUCACGUGCACGUAGAGGAACGUGAACGUUCGAUACGUAUCUAAAUGUGCGUGUGUGUAUGUGUGUGUAUGUGUGCGCGCGCGCGCGCUUGCGUGUGUAUGUGUGUAUAACACAUCAUCACACACGAGUAAUGACACGUAUCGGCUUCGUACGAGAGUUGCUUUCGAAUUUAUAUGACACCGAUUAAAGAUUCGAUCUUCGUAGCUAUCACGGGCUAUGAUGAUUGACAAUUUUUAUAAAUAAUUUCGAAUCAAUUAAAACUAUUUGAUUUUAUUGUAAAUUACAUCAGUAAUAAUUUUAAUACGAUGUUAAAUCCACAGCAUGAUUAUUUUUGAUGGAUAAUUUUGUUAAAAUAAUUUCAAAUGAAUUAUUAUUAAUUUUUUUUUUUGUUUAUGUUAGCACGACGUCAGAUAGAUAAAUUUUACACGAAAUAAGAAAAUGCUAAAGAAGUUAAUGUGAAAUAAUCGUAAUGUUUGAAUGUAUCGAAAUAAUUUAUAGUCAUCGGGUAUCAUUUAUACAUGUCAGGGUGUGGAUGGCGCGUGCUUUAGUAUAAACAAUGUUAGCAUACUGUUUCUAUCGCAUGGAUCAAAUAACAUCGAUGAGACAUGUAACUGAUGUUAACGAGAGAGGCGGCGAUAUAAAACUUGCUGAAAGUUUUUAUCAUUUCUGUUGAUCGACGAUGACCAAGAGAUUAUAUUUCAUUGUAUGGAAAGAAUGAAUAAGUAGAUGAAAUACCUAACUACUAUGAUUCUUUGUUAAUUUCGUCCAAGAAACGCCUGAGAGAAACUUUAAUGCAUGCAAUGCAAUGCUGUAAGCGUGGUUGCAUAGGUACAGGCGUAUGAAGUAUUAUUGAUCAAUGUAUAUUAUUCAUGUGUUAUAUACUUAAUAUUAAUUAUUAUAUAUAAGAAUUAAUUAUGUAUUUAAAUAAAUUUUAAUAAUGCUAUUAACUUUAACUUUAA